rnacentral:sRNA from 1 species
GCAUAUGGCCUUAGAAAAAAUAUGAAGAACAACAACAACAACAACAACAACAAGAAAGAGAAUGCUUGAACAAAUGAUAGAGGAAGUGCUUGUAUACAGCGGGGCAGUGCUCGGGUUUCAGUUAGCGAGAUGUUACAAGAUCCUUGAUAUACUCUCCAUGCCUUCACGAACGCACCAACACAUGAGGGUUCAUUGUGGAUAGACAGCUGAGAAAUUUUAGAAAACUCUUCUGAUACUUGAUCCCAGAACUGGGGAACAGCAACGUUCCCAUAUGAUUUUGCUUAGAUUGUCAUAGGAGGAGCAGCCUUUGCCAUGCGAAAUUCAGGUAGUCAAUAUAGGGAGGAUAUUACUUGCAAGAACCUGACAAGAUAUUCCAUGAAGGCAGGCCGCUCUUGUAUAUAGCACUAGAACUGGUAUAGAAUACUAGUAUUCGCGACUUUGGAGUGCAUUCAACAAGAGAAGCAAUAAAGAAGGAUGAGGAAAGGGAAAAUAGAAAAUAGAAAAGAAAAACAAAAACCGCUGUUUGAAACUUGCUACAGGC